rnacentral:rRNA from 1 species
GCUGGAAUCGCUAGUAAUCGCGGAUCAGAAUGCCGCGGUGAAUACGUUCCCGGGUCUUGUACACACCGCCCGUCACACCAUGGGAGUCGGAAAUGCCCGAAGUCUGUGACCCAACCGCGAGGAGGGAGCAGCCGAAGGCAGGUCGGAUGACUGGGGUGAAGUCGUAACAAGGUAAC